GACGAACGCUGGCGGCGUGCCUAAUACAUGCAAGUCGAGCGAAUUGAUGGGAGCUUGCUCCCUGAUAUUAGCGGCGGACGGGUGAGUAACACGUGGGUAACCUGCCUGUAAGAUUGGGAUAACUCCGGGAAACCGGAGCUAAUACCGGAUAACAUUUUGAACCGCAUGGUUCAAAAUUGAAAGAUGGUUUCGGCUAUCACUUACAGAUGGACCCGCGGCGCAUUAGCUAGUUGGUGAGGUAACGGCUCACCAAGGCAACGAUGCGUAGCCGACCUGAGAGGGUGAUCGGCCACACUGGGACUGAGACACGGCCCAGACUCCUACGGGAGGCAGCAGUAGGGAAUCUUCCGCAAUGGACGAAAGUCUGACGGAGCAACGCCGCGUGAACGAUGAAGGCCUUCGGGUCGUAAAGUUCUGUUGUUAGGGAAGAACAAGUACCAGAGUAACUGCUGGUACCUUGACGGUACCUAACCAGAAAGCCACGGCUAACUACGUGCCAGCCGCCGCAGUAAUAC
rnacentral:rRNA from 1 species